GGAGAGGAGCGGAAGACCUUCUGGUGUGGGCUGGGCAGCAAUUCACUUGCAGGAGAAACAGCCCGGGUGUGGAGAGGCGGCCAACCUUGGCGGGAUCCUUUCUAAGGAGCCGAGAAAUCAACGUAGAGCUUCCUCUGUCUGAUUCUUUAACAACUGCAGACCUUCCCUGAGUCAAGCUUUGUGUCAAAAGGACAAAUUAAAAGGACCUAUAAAAGGCAUCACCAAGCCCAAUGGACAGAUGCCCCAGGCUGCAGAUUCUGUCAGUGCUGUUCUGGAAAAGGCGCAAACACAUGCUGAAACAUCGAAGGAUAAGAAGCCAGCCUUCGGGAACCGGCAGGAGCACCCUGGGCCCCGCAUGGCCCCAAGUCCAGCCUGCCCCGCCUCCUCUGGUGCAGAGGUCCAGGGACACCAGCAGCAGCCCCGCCACGCCCCCCAAGGCCAAGAACACAGGCGGCAGGGGCUUCCCCUCCCUGCCAGACUACUUCCUGCCGCCACAGCCACCACCCUUGGACGACCCAGAGCUCCCGCCGCCCCUGGACUUCGUGCUCCCUACCCCCGCGGUCGCCAAGAGGCCUCCUAUGCCCCACCCCCGCAAGAGACACGAAGCAUCAAUGUUCAGAAGCAGCAAAUAAAUAAAAUAAAUGAAUAA
rnacentral:lncRNA from 1 species